rnacentral:misc_RNA from 1 species
AAGUCGUAACAAGGUUUCCGUCGACAUAAGUCUAUAGGAAUGGAUCUGAUCCUUCUGUAGUGAAACUUAUAGAAGCCUUUGCAGCCCGGCAGCGGGUGAUCAAGCGACUCUAAAUAAUUGACAAUGCAAGUUUGCUGGUUAUUGUAACAGCGAGCAACACGAUCGAAUUGACGGGGACAUCCUAAAGCUUGUCGCACCAACUCCUCUGGGAAACUUGAUGGAGGGCCUAUGCUAAUAACAUAGGAGGGUAAAGGAUGACAAGAUGCAACAAUGGACGAUCCGCAGCGAAGACUCUAAGUACAUCAUCAGAUGUAUACGAGUAACGUUCACAGACUAAGUGGUCGUGGGUGACGACGCAACUCGGAGUGGUUGAAUCGUCGCCUAAGAUAUAGUCGGGUUUCUGGCGAAAGUCAGGAUUGAAUUCACUGAAUUGCCAACUUAAAACCGUUCCGUAGGUGAACCUGCGGAAGGAUCAUUAUCGAGUGCGUUCGUUAAUUCGGGCACCUCCCAUCCUUGUGUAUUUUAGCUGAAAAGCAGCUUCGGCGGGCCGUCAUACCCCGAAUUUUUGGGGUGUUGACAUCGGCCUUGUGCGGAUUGCGCCCGCCGAAGAACCAACUCUAUGACAACUUGAAGUCUGAUAAUUAAAACAUAAAUAAAUCAAAA